rnacentral:rRNA from 1 species
UACGAAGGGUGCAAGCGUUACUCGGAAUUACUGGGCGUAAAGCGUGCGUAGGUGGUUUGUUAAGUCUGUUGUGAAAGCCCCGGGCUCAACCUGGGAAUGGCAAUGGAUACUGGCAGGCUAGAGUGCGGUAGAGGGUAGUGGAAUUCCCGGUGUAGCGGUGAAAUGCGUAGAGAUCGGGAGGAACACCAGUGGGCGAAGGCGGCUACCUGGACCAGCACUGACACUGAGGCACGAAAGGCGUGGGGGAGCAAACAGG